rnacentral:lncRNA from 1 species
AAAUACGUGAUAGGAGGGUGGAGUCCCGUACAAGGGGAGAGGAAGAACUGGCGGUGCCACUGCAAGCAGCGGUUACAGCAGUCAGCCCAACAGUUGAGACCGUGCACAGAUGCAUGCAAGGAGACUGUGGAAAGAGCAGGAUCUCCUUUCCUUUCCAGAAGGGCACUUAGAUGGAUGAAAGGAGAAUUGCAUACUCUCAGAUUUCAAUCCACUGGUGUUGAAGAAUAGAGAAGCCUACAGAUUCUGAUGAUGGAUUCCAAGUGUAAAGAGAAGCAGAAGCCAAUGGCACUGAAUCAACUGGAACUCCCAAUAGCAGAAUAUGAGAGUUGCCGUUUCUCUACAUCCUUGCCAACACCGACUAUUGGCAAUGGUGUAACUCUAGCCAUUACGAAAGAGAAGGAUGAAGAAGUGGAGGCGGAGAAGAAAAAGAAGAAGAAGAAGCAGGAGCAGCAGGAGGAGGAGGAGAAGGAGAAGAGAAAUGAGAGAAGGAGGAAGAGGAAGAAAAGGAAGAAGAAGAGGGAAGAAAAGGAAGAGGAAGAGGAAUAGAAAGAUGAGCAGAAGGAGGAAGGAGAAAGGAGAAGGAGAAGGAGAAAAAGAGAAGCUUAGGAAAAACCAUGGACUUCAUAAGGGAACGUGGCUGAGAUGAAAAGGACAAUAAGAAUGCUCACCCAGGAAGGACUUUUGGCUCUAGCAUGUCUAUUUCUGUUUGCAUCAAGGCCAGUUGUAUUUCAGUUCCUGCCCUUGGAGCCUGUGAAAAGUCUAUACUGUAACAAUUUACUUACUCCUGCAUUGUGCUUGAAUUAUUUUGGGCGAGUUUCAACUUUUCUGUAACUAAAGCCUUAAGGAAAAUGUAUCCUAAUUACGGGGAGUUGAUAGAGAGAGAUUUAAGAAAUAUGGCUAAAUUUUUGCAUUUGAUGGACUAGAUACUGGGAGGAGGACAAGGGCCAAGUCAAGAUAUAUCCUAAUACGUCAUCCUAGGAAUUUGGGCUAUGGGGAUCAUUGAAAAUUUUUAUGGAACAUGGAAUUUUUAUGAGUAACAUGUUUUGAUAUGCAUUUUAGAGAGUUCACUCUGGAGAAUGGAAUUGGAGCUAGGCAAGACCAGAGGUUGAAAGAGCAAUUAACUGAGGUAAAAUGAAGCUCUAAAGUGAGGCUAAGAACAAAAAGAAGGAAAGAUUUAUCAUAAACAGAACAAAAAGCAAAUAUGUUUCUCAUAUAAAGAGUUCCUAUAGGG